GACAAAUUCAACCCAUCACAUAGGCCAUCCCCGAGGCCACCUCUGCGUCAUCUUUGUCUACAGAUUCUGUGUCCGUCUUCCUCUCCUCAUUGACUCUGCAUGAAGGGGAUUUCUGGUGGGGUAACGCUCUUGCCGCACGUGCAGAGAGAGAGGAACUUCCAGUGCCCGCUAUGGAGCCACAGCCCACAGCAUGGGGAAGUCCCCAUCCAGAGGCAGUGCUGCAGCUAGAGGUAGCUCCAGAGUCCUCCGGGCCCUGCACCGAUACAGCCAAAGACCAGCAAAG
ensembl:lncRNA novel transcript